GUGUGGAACAAAAGGGUA
rnacentral:snRNA from 1 species